AUUGAACGCUGGCGGCAUGCUUUACAUAUGCAAGUCGAACGGUAACAGCACUUCGGUGGCUGACGAGUGGCGAACGGGUGAGUAAUACAUCGGAACGUGCCUAGUAGUGGGGGAUAACUACUCGAAAGAGUAGCUAAUACCGCAUGAGAUCUAAGGAUGAAAGCAGGGGACCUUCGGGCCUUGCGCUACUAGAGCGGCUGAUGGCAGAUUAGGUAGUUGGUGGGAUAAAAGCUUACCAAGCCGACGAUCUGUAGCUGGUCUGAGAGGACGACCAGCCACACUGGGACUGAGACACGGCCCAGACUCCUACGGGAGGCAGCAGUGGGGAAUUUUGGACAAUGGGCGCAAGCCUGAUCCAGCAAUGCCGCGUGCAGGAUGAAGGCCUUCGGGUUGUAAACUGCUUUUGUACGGAACGAAAAGCCCUCUUCUAAUACAGGAGGGUCAUGACGGUACCGUAAGAAUAAGCACCGGCUAACUACGUG
rnacentral:rRNA from 1 species